UGGCACAUGCCUGUAAUCCCAGCUACUCAGGAGGCUGAGGCAGGAGAAUCGCUUGAACCCGGGAGACAGAGGUUGCGGUGAGCCGAGAUUGCGCCAUUGCACUUCAGCCUGGGCGACAGAGCAAGACUCCAUCUCAAAAAAAAAAAUAAAAAGACUUCAUAUAUGAGUGAGAACAUGUAAUUUUUGUCUUUCUGUGCCUGGCUUCUUUUGCUUACCAUAAUGUCCUCCAGGUUCAUCCAUGUCAGGAUUUUAUUCCUUUUUGUGGCUGAAGAGUUUUCCAUUCGAAUAUGUACCACAUUUCUUUAACCAUUUGUCUGUUGAUGGACGCUUAAGUUGAUUGAUAUUUUGGCUGUUGUGAAUGGUGCUGCAAUAAGUAUGGGACUGCAGAUGCCUCUCUAAUAUACUGGUUUCCUUUCCUUUGAAGAAAUACCCAGUGGUAGGAUUGCUGGAUCAUAUUGAAUACUGUAAUUUUAAAUCCUGCUUGAUUUUAAUUGCAUUAACUAUCAACAUUCCCACUCAACCUUAAAACUUUGCAUCAUUGCGUGAAUUUUAAAACUAUAAACAUCACUGCAUGAACAUAACAUAAUUUAUUAUUGUUAGCUAUUCAAGAUUUUUUCCAUUAUGCAUUUUCUGUUACAAAUAACAGGAUGUUUUUUAAAAUAUAAACCUUUUUUCUGUAAUUAGGUUGAAAAGGAGUAGCAGGCCAGGUGCAGUGGCUCGUGCCUGUAAUCCCAGCACUUUGGGAGGCACAGGCGGGUGGAUCAUCUGAGGUCAGGAGUUCAAGACCAGGCUGGCCAACAUGGCGAAACCCUGUCUUACUAAAAAUACAAAAAUUAGCCAGGCCUGAUGGUGGGCGCCUGUAAUCCUGCCUACUCGGGGGCUGAGGCAGGGAAAAUCGCUUGAACUCAGGAGGUGGAGGUUGCAGUGAGCCGAGAUCGCACCAUUGCAUUCCAGCCUGGGCGACAGAGAGAGACUCCGUCUCAAAAAAAAAAAAAAAAAACAAAAGAAAAGUAAAAAAAGAAAAGGAGAAGCAAAGUUACUGGGUCGAAAUGCAUGAACACAUUCUUGAAGCAUAUUACCAAUUACUACUUUCUAAUCAGAUGUAUUUUUAAUAUUAAGAAAUGGUUACUAAUUUUGUUAGGUGUGAUGAGGGAAUUUUGGUUAUGUUUAAGCAUUUAUUUAUUAGAGAUCAUUUUCUCUUGAAAUAUUAACUGAAGAAUUGAUGUCUGAAAUUUAUUUUAAAAAAGCUCUAGCAAAAAGCGUUGAUGGGGGUAGGAAAUAGGUCAAACAAUAUCAGUGACAAAAUAAAAAUUGUUGGGUGACAGGUGCUUGCAAGUUCAUGAUCCUACUCUCUGCUUUUGGGUAUUUUUGAAAUUAUCCACAAUAAAACAUUAAAAUGGAAGGAAGGAAGGAAGGAAGGCAGGCGGAGGGGAAGGGAAGGGAGGAAAAGGAAGGAGGGAAGAAGGGAGGCAGAAAAGAAAAGGAAAGAAAAAAUGAAAGAUGUAUCUCUUUAGAAUACUACUAGCCAUUUAUGAGAGUAGUUAAUUCACAGUGUCCUUAUCCCUGUUAUUAUCAAGAAAGAAAGAAUGAAAGAGAAAGAAAAGAAAGGAAGAAGACUGCCUAUUAGUUUGAUAAGAGUACAGUCUCUUUGAUCCCUGGUGAGGUGGAAUAACUUUUCAAAGACCCUUUAUCUCUUCAUCACUUGUAAAAUGCUUCCUGGUCAGUACAUUCCUUUCUUCCUAUCUUGUUACAAUCUUUAGUGAAUCUGUUUUAUCCAUAACAUGCCUUCUAAGAUGUCUAUAAAAGAAAGUAUCUACAAAAGAAAGCUUACUACAUCUCAAUGCUUUUUAAUAAAUAAUUUUUUUUUCAGUGACAGGUCAUGUGGAUCAGCUGAUGGUUUUAACACAUGGAAUUUCUACAAAAUGCUUUAGCUGAGGUGAAAACAUUAGUAACAAUACAUAUUUGCUGCACACACCACACAUAUUUCGUCUUCAUAUUCAGAUGAAGAAACAGAGGUUGAGGGAGGUUAAGUACCUGGCUCAAGUCCACAUGUAACAAAGCCAGAAUUUAAAUCCCAGAUUUGAUUCCAACCCUAAAGUUUUAGUCAUUUUUGAAAACUUGCAUGUCACUUUAUUCUAAAUAAAAGUUUUAUUCUAAAACUUUAUUUUUUUAUUUUUAUUUAUUUAUUUUUUGAAACAGAGUUUUCCUCUGUCACCCAGGCUGGAAUGCAAUGGCACGAUCUCGGCUCACUGCAACCUCUGCCUUCCAUGCUCAAGCGAUUCUCUUGCCUCAGCCUCCCAAGUAGCUGGGAUUACAGGUGCAUGCUAAUUUUUUGUAUUUUUAGUAGAGACAGGGUUUCGCCAUGUUGGCCAGGCUGGUCUUGAACUCCUGACCUCAGAUGAUCCACCCACCUCGGCCUCCCAAAGUGAUGGGAUUACAGGCGUGAGACAUUGUGCCCGGCCUAUUCUAAAACUUUAAUAAAAACGGUUGUCUUGCUCCCUAAUGUCCAAGUUUCAUUGAUUAAUAGCCAUCAGUGUGAACAACUACCUGGACCAAGAAGAUCAGCUGGAUUCGGAGAUAUCCUUCGCUAGUUCUUAAUCUGAGAUGUUCAGAAACCUUGGAAAUGUCUGUUUCUGGAGAGACCAUCACUGUCUCUCCCCUAGGUGGACAGAGCAAGAAGGUGAGCCAUGACCUGGAUCUGCUGGAGCAGGAGAGGACAGCGGUAGGGGAGCCCAGGAAGGGAUCAGGCACAGGAGAGAAGGAUGAGUUGAGACCCCAACACGCUGCUUUUGAGGCGCUUGCUGCACCUUCCCACAGGAGGCUGAGGAAACAGCUCUGAGAAAUAGCUACUAAAAUCCUAAGAUUUUGCCUCAGAAAUCUCCUUCGAAUUUGACCCUCCAUUCAGACCCCACUGCAGCAGGCCUCCUCUAUGGCACCCGGGAACGGCCCUUGCAGUCCUCCCCAUUUUAACUCUAGAGGAAUCAUAAAACACAGGUCUGAUUACAUAUUCAUGAUCUCCCUGUAUAACCACCACGUGGGGGGUCCCACAGCGUAAGGCCCUUCCUAGGAGGCAGCAACCCCUCCCUCCAACCCCAUCUCAACCUGCCCUACACGCAUAUUCACCCCUCUCCCACCUCCUGCCUUCCACUUGCUGUUACUUUUUGUAAACAACUUUUUCUCCUGGUUUCCCCCAGUUUCCCCCAGCUGACAGCUUACACAGCCUCCUCUGAAGAAUCCUGCCUUGACAACCCCCUGUCCCUAACAGUUUGCUCGCUCUCUGUGUUCUUAAGUCCCUUUGUUCCUACAUCUUUCAGCGGGGGGCUGUGAGGAGUCCAAGAGUGAACACCCAGUGCCUGCCCUGGCAAACAGUGACUGCUCAAUCAUUGUGAGCUAUAUUUUAUUUUAUUAAAAAAAUUUUUUUUUGAGACAGAGUCUUGCUCCAUCACCAGGCGUGAUCUCAGCUCACUGCAACCUCCACCUCCCAGGUCCAAGCGAUUCUCAUGCCUCAGCCUCCAGAGUAGCUAGGAUUACAGGUGUUAGCACAACUAAGUUCCUCUUCAAAACUUACCUCCCUGUUUAUAAGUUGUAAGGUUAUAAGCUAGCCCUUCUCCCUGCUUUCCCCUUUCUCCACUUUGGCCUUCAAAGUCCUCGUCUCGCUACCUUAUUUAGAAAGAGGUUCAAACUUCCUUCUGUUCUGUAACCAACCCCCUUGCUGUACCCAUACAUAUCCAGGCAUGCCUAGGCAUGCCUUCCCUCCUGCCUAGUUAGUAACAGACGGUCUCUCCUCCCCACUCCUCUUUUAGCAAAUUGCGCGUUUACUCUAUUUGGAGAAUUUUAAGUCUUAGCCAAUCAGGUCAGCUUAGAUUGUGAGGUCCAACUCCAGCCAAUGGGGAAAGGACACAGAAACAACAACUGCGUUAGGGAUAAAAACCCCUUCUCUCCUUUGUUGGGGUACUCUUGUGAUCAUGGCUGAUGCAGGCAGCACCCUUCUGUAGAAGUAGUUGCCUUACUGAGAAAACUUUUUGCCUGAGUGCUGGUUCUUCUUUUCGGCACCGAGCACUUGUUUCUAACAGAGACAUGUGCCACCACGCCCGGUUAAUUUUUCUAUUUUUAGUAGAGACGGGAUUCUGCCCUGUUGGCCAGGCUGGUCUGAAACUCCUGACCUCAAGUGAUUUGCCCACCUCGGCCUCCCAAAGUGCUGGAUUACAGGGUUAGCCACAACGCCCAGCCAUAUUUAAUUUUAAUAUGUAUUAUCUUUAGAAUAAUUUCUUUUUUGAAAAUCUUUUGGAGUGUUUUACUUUCUUUCUUGCCCUUGAAACCUGGCAUAUAGCAGGUGCUCAACAAAUAUUGAAGGAAGGAAUGAGGGUGAGAGAGAGCAGCGGUUUUCCAAGGGCCCGCACAGGAAAGAGACAGAAGGGCUCCAGUUGUCUUCUGUAACUGCCCCCAGCAGCUUCAGGCUCCAGGCAGGGAGCAAGGAAGCUAUCAGUACCUGGCAAUAUCAGAUUCUGUGCUGCGCCCCACCACCAUGAUGUCAACUCUAUGGAUGCUUUUGUCUUUUUUUGGCCUUGGGAGGGACCCCGUGGCAGAGGCUGCAGAGACCAGACUGGGGGCUUGAAGGUAAUGCUAACAGCUUUUUUAUGUUAUAUAUAUAUUUCAGAGCUUACAAAACAUGGCCACAGAGGGUAUCAUCUUCCAACUUCAUUUCUUCUCUGUGACACAGGAAUUCUUACACUCAUUUCACAGAAAGCACCAGCAACCAAGGGGUGAGGGUUUAGGCCCCAGGCUUCCAUGGCAGUGUGCCCUCUUCCAGAUCAAGUGGUCACUCACAGUUGAUCUUUGACUCUGAGAGUUCCUAGCAGGGGAUGGCAGUGGAGUGCCUGGGUCAAAUGCUGAUUCCUCAGUUCUGCCAGGUCUGGAUGGAGAGUCAUUAGAACUGGUGUGAACUCCAGUAAUCUAUUGUUUUAUAUGGUUCACUGGCGGCUGAGUCACUGGUGCCAUGUGAAUCACACAUUGAGAAAUAGCAGAAGAGAAUGCACAGCCCCUGGAAGUCUUGGACAGAGAGUGACAAGUCUUUGCUGGACAUAAACUAUAACUAGGGAGCUAGGGUAAGGUGGAUCAGAGCAUGCAUAGAUUGAAAUAUCUUUUACGGCUGGGGUGUGGUGGCUCACACCUGUAAUCUUAGCACUUUGGGAGGCUGAGGUGAGUGGAUCACCUGAGGUCAGGAGUUCGAGACCAGACUGGCCAACAUGGUGAAACCCCGUCUCUACUAAAAAUACAAAAAAUUAGUUGGGCGUGGUGGUGGACACCUGUAAUCUCAGCUACUUGGGAGGCUGAGGCAGGAGAAUUGCUUGAACUCAGGAGGC
rnacentral:lncRNA from 10 species